AGCAGCCGCGGUAAUUCCAUUUCCAAUAGCGUAUAUUAAAGUUGUUGCAGUUAAAAAGCUCGUAGUUGAAUUUCGAGAUCAAUUUGUGGGUCGUGCCUCGGUACGUACUGGCAUUAUCGAUUUCUCCCUUCUGAAGAACCGCGAUGUCAUUAAUUUGGUGUCGUGGGGAAUCAGGACUGUUACUUUGAAAAAAUUAGAGUGUUUAAAGCAGGCUUACGCUUGAAUACAUUAGCAUGGAAUAAUGAAAUAGGACGUUUGAUUCUAUUUUGUUGGUUUCUAGGAUUGACGUAAUGAUUAAUAGGGAUAGUCGGGGGCAUUAGUAUUCAAUUGUCAGAGGUGAAAUUCUUGGAUUUAUUGAAGACUAACUACUGCGAAAGCAUUUGCCAAGGAUGUUUUCAUUAAUCAAGAACGAAAGUUAGGUGAUCGAAGACGAUCAGAUACCGUCGUAGUCUUAACCAUAAACUAUGCCGAC
rnacentral:rRNA from 1 species